GAUGAACGCUGACAGAAUGCUUAACACAUGCAAGUCUAUGGUAAAGUUAGUGCUUGCACUAACGGAGCCAUGGCGGACGGGUGAGUAACGCGUAAAGAACUUGCCUUAUGGACUGGGAUAACAGUUGGAAACGACUGAUAAGACUGGAUAUAAUUAUACAUUUGCAUGAAUGUGUAAUGAAAAGAGAUGCCAUAAGAGAGCUUUGCGUCCUAUUAGUUAGUUGGUGAGGUAAAGGCUCACCAAGGCAAUGAUAGGUAGCCGGCCUGAGAGGGUGAACGGCCACAAGGGGACUGAGAUACGGCCCUUACUCUUACGGGAGGCAGCAGUGGGGAAUAUUGGACAAUGGAGGGAACUCUGAUCCAGCAAUUCUGUGUGCACGAAGAAGGUUUUCGGAUUGUAAAGUGCUUUCAGUUGGGAAGAAGUAAGUGACGGUACCAACAGAAGAAGCGACGGCUAAAUACGUGCCAGCAGCCGCGGUAAUACGUAUGUCGCGAGCGUUAUCCGGAAUUAUUGGGCAUAAAGGGCAUCUAGGCGGUUAUGCAAGUCAGGGGUGAAAACUUACGGCUCAACCGUGAGCUUGCCUUUGAAACUGUGUGACUAGAGUACUGGAGAGGUGGGCGGAACUACACGAGUAGAGGUGAAAUUCGUAGAUAUGUGUAGGAAUGCCGAUGAUGAAGAUAGCUCACUGGACAGAAACUGACGCUGAAGUGCGAAAGCUAGGGGAGCAAACAGG
rnacentral:rRNA from 1 species